CACCUCUCAGGGUGGUACCUGGAGAGUUUCCAGUCCUCUACCAGUCUCGACUAUGGGAGGGAGAGUCAAGCAGAGGCAUAUCCAUUCCAUUUCUGGCUUGGGCAGUAGCUAGCGAGUGGAAGACCAUCUGUUAAAAGU